AUGAAGGCCCCAAAAGCCCCCCAAAAGGCCCCAAAAGCCCCCCAAAAGGCCCCAAAAGGCCCCAUGAAAGGCCCCAGAAGGCCCCCCAAAAGUCCCCCAAAAGGCCCCAAAAGGUCCUGGAAGAUCCCCAGAAGGCCCCAAAGCCCCGCGCAGGUCCUGGCAGCUCCCCAAAGCCCCGCGCAGGUCCCGGCAGCUCACAGCACUCACUUGUCCCCCAUGAAGGCCCCAAAAGCCCCCAUGAAGGCCCCAAAAGCCCCCCAACGCCCCCAAGAGCCCCCCAUGAAGGCCCCAAAAGCCCCCCAAAAGGCCCCGAUAGCCCCCCAAAAGGCCCCAAAAGCCCCCCAAAAGGCCCCAGAAGCCCCCAUGAAGGCCCCAAAAGCCCCCCAAAAGGCCCCCAAAAGCCCCCCAAAAGGCCCCAAAAGGCCCCAUGAAGGCCCCAGAAGGCCCCCAAAAGUCCCCCAAAAGGCCCCAAAAGGUCCUGGAAGAUCCCCAGAAGGCCCCAAAGCCCCGCGCAGGUCCUGGCAGCUCACAGCACUCACUUGUCCCCCCUGCAGCCCCCCAAAAGCCCCCAUGAAGGCCCCAAAAAGCCCCCAUGAAGGCCCCGAUAGCCCCCCCAAAAGGCCCCCAAAAGCCCCCCAGAAGCCCCCCAAAAGGCCCCUAAAGGCCCUGAUAGCCCCCCAAAAAGACCCCAGCAGCCCCCCAAAAGGCUCCAGAAGCCCCCCAGAAGCCCCCCAAAAGGCCCCAGCAGCCCCCCAGCAGCCCCCCAAAGCCCCCCCCAGGUCCCGGCAGCUCACAGCACUCACUUGUCCCCCAUGAAGGCCCCUGCAGCCCCCCAAAAGGCCCCCAAAAGCCCCCUGCAGCCCCCCAAAAGGCCCAAAAGGCCCCUGCAGCCCCCCAGCAGCCCCCCCAAAGCCCCCCCAGGUCCCGGCAGCUCACAGCACUCACUUGUCCCCCAUGAAGGCCCCAAAAGCCCCCCCAAAAGCCCCCCAAAAGCCCCCCAGCCAGCCCCCCAAAAAGGCCCUGAUACGCCCCCCAAAAGGCCCCCAGCAGCCCCCCCAGCAGCCCCCCC
rnacentral:lncRNA from 7 species